rnacentral:lncRNA from 1 species
AGAAAAAAAUUGGGCCCAUAGAAGAGCUCUUGGAUCUAAAAGUUAGUCAUGCGAUAUUGAAAAUUUCUUCUCUCAAGGAAAACAAGGCAUUUUGAUUUGGGAUAAUGGGAGACCACUUCAAGAUGAUUCAGUUUAGCCAAAUACUUGCUUUUAAGAAAGGAGAGAAAAGUGAGUUCCCUUGUGGUGCAGCAGGUUAAGGAGCCGGCAUUGUCACUGAAGUGGUUUGGGUCACUGCUGUGGCGUGGGUUCAAUCCCUGGCCCAGGAACUUGUCACAUGCAGGAGGGAGAGAGAGAAAUGGAAUUCUUUUCAUACCAUACAUCCUAACUUCAAAAUAAAUCAUCUGGAAGAGAGGAGAGAGAUGGUCCUUAAAAAUAAGCACCCAGUCAAUAUUUCUCUGCAUUAUCAUGUUCUUUUCUUUUUACUUCAGGUCUUGGUCAAGGGAGCAGAAAUUUUUGCUUUCCAGUCCUUUCUUCAUUGCAUAUAUCACCAAUACCAAGAGAAGUACUAUAUUUAAAGAAGCUCCUGCCUUUAAGACCAAUGCCUUCUACAUAAGAACUACUCAAUAAAUAUUUGUUCAACUAAUGAAUGGAAAUGUUCACUAUUAAAAUGACCACAUGAAAAUGACAUGGAAAGCUUUGACCAAGAGGGAAGAGGAGGACUCUGAAGUAAUACCCCUUGAAAGGCAGACUUUUAGGGGUAAGUAAAGGUUGUUAUAUUUUAUUCUGGUUAAAGAAAAAAGUUAUAAGGGACACAAUUCCAUUAUAUGCCUGCAUGUUUUCUUUCCUUCUUUGUGUUUAUCCACUUAGAAGAAAAGAAAAGUCUUUGGAGGAAAGAAAGUUAAAAUAUGUAAAAGCAGCUACAUAUAUAUCUAGAAGUGUUUUUGAUUUUUACAGAAGUGUUUGAUUUUAAAGAGGCAGCCAAAUAUACAUUCUGAAAGAUUUUUUUACUCUGAGGCAAAGAAUUUAGGGUUUAUUAGAGGGAGGCUUCUUAGGUUUGAAAGUAUUCAUGGUGGACUGGGGAAAAGGCUGUGGAAAUUCAAAGACACUAUUUUGAUAGAAGUUACUGAUGAGAGAGAAAAACACCAAAUUUUGCUUUGAAUAUAAGUGACUACUUUGUGAUGAUUAUUAUCAGCUUGUAUUCCUGUUGUUCUAAUAAAGGGUUUUAUUUUUUAAAGUGUAACUUUUGGGAAAAUAUGCUAACUUUCUCUUGGUUAAACAAGUCUCUGAAAAACCUGGCUGUUUGAAUCCUGAAGCUGUUAACAAAUGUAACAGGAAGUUGCAUAGGAAACUGUGACUGAAGCACCCCAAGGCAACAGGUGUGAUUUUUCAGAGUGAAGUACCAGAUCACCAAGCAGAAGUUUCAAACAAAUUUCCACUGAUUAGAUGGUUCUCAAAACCCACAAGGGUCAGACAGCUGGAAAGUGGGUCUGCCACAGAGCAUUUAUAAAGAGGUGAUCUUUAGAGAAAGGCAGUGCAUUCUCUGCCCCCCAUCUGAGGUAAAGGAGAGGGUGCUUGCCCUUUCGCCUCUGACCUGGUAACUAUUCUUUCAGAAUUAGUCAGAGAACUAUGGUGGGAAGGAUGGAGUAUAGAGGACUGAGGUCUGACUACCCCAAGGCAAGUCUAGAUGGAGAUGAAAGAGAUGGCCUC